rnacentral:rRNA from 1 species
CCUACGGGGGGCAGCAGUGGGGAAUAUUGGACAAUGGGCGAAAGCCUGAUCCAGCCAUGCCGCGUGUGUGAAGAAGGCCUUCGGGUUGUAAAGCACUUUCAGUGGGGAAGAAAGCCUUGGGGCUAAUACCCUCGAGGAAGGACAUCACCCACAGAAGAAGCACCGGCUAACUCCGUGCCAGCAGCCGCGGUAAUACGGAGGGUGCGAGCGUUAAUCGGAAUUACUGGGCGUAAAGCGCGCGUAGGCGGUCUGAUAAGCCGGUUGUGAAAGCCCCGGGCUCAACCUGGGAACGGCAUCCGGAACUGUCAGGCUAGAGUGCAGGAGAGGAAGGUAGAAUUCCCGGUGUAGCGGUGAAAUGCGUAGAGAUCGGGAGGAAUACCAGUGGCGAAGGCGGCCUUCUGAACUGACACUGACGCUGAGGUGCGAAAGCGUGGGUAGCAAACAGGAUUAGAUACCCCAGUAGUC